rnacentral:rRNA from 1 species
UGCUGACAUAAGUAACGAUAAAGCGGGUGAAAAGCCCGCUCGCCGGAAGACCAAGGGUUCCUGUCCAACGUUAAUCGGGGCAGGGUGAGUCGACCCCUAAGGCGAGGCCGAAAGGCGUAGUCGAUGGGAAACAGGUUAAUAUUCCUGUACUUGGUGUUACUGCGAAGGGGGGACGGAGAAGGCUAUGUUGGCCGGGCGACGGUUGUCCCGGUUUAAGCGUGUAGGCUGGUUUUCCAGGCAAAUCCGGAAAAUCAAGGCUGAGGCGUGAUGACGAGGCACUACGGUGCUGAAGCAACAAAUGCCCUGCUUCCAGGAAAAGCCUCUAAGCAUCAGGUAACAUCAAAUCGUACCCCAAACCGACACAGGUGGUCAGGUAGAGAAUACCAAGGCGCUUGAGAGAACUCGGGUGAAGGAACUAGGCAAAAUGGUGCCGUAACUU